rnacentral:sRNA from 1 species
AGCAAUAGCUGCUGACCGAAAACGUCAUUAUCGGUAUAGGUGACGUUCAACAUCGAGCGGCGUGUCUGCGGAUUGAAGUCGGACUCGUAUCCGGAACGGGUUUCAAACAGGCUCGGGUCGGCGAGCGCUGCAAAGAAGG